rnacentral:rRNA from 1 species
AUGGGAUUGCCAUGGGCGCAGCCUGAUGCAGCAACGCCGCGUGAGGGAUGACGGCCUUCGGGUUGUAAACCUCUUUUGGUAGGGAAGAAGCCUUCGGGUGACGGUACCUGCAGAAAAAGCGCCGGCUAACUACGUGCCAGCAGCCGCGGUAAUACGUAGGGCGCAAGCGUUAUCCGGAAUUAUUGGGCGUAAAGAGCUCGUAGGCGGUCUGUCGCGUCUGCUGUGAAAUCCCGAGGCUCAACCUCGGGCUUGCAGUGGGUACGGGCAGACUAGAGUGCGGUAGGGGAGAUUGGAAUUCCUGGUGUAGCGGUGGAAUGCGCAGAUAUCAGGAGGAACACCGAUGGCGAAGGCAGAUCUCUGGGCCGUUACUGACGCUGAGGAGCGAAAGGGUGGGGAGCAAACAGGCUUAGAUACCCUGGUAGUCCACCCCGUAAACGUUGGGAACUAGUUGUGGGGUCCUUUCCACGGAUUCCGUGACGUAGCUAACGCAUUAAGUUCCCCGCCUGGGGAGUACGGCCGCAAGGCUAAAACUCAAAGGAAUUGACGGGGACCCGCACAAGCGGCGGAGCAUGCGGAUUAAUUCGAUGCAACGCGAAGAACCUUACCAAGGCUUGACAUACACCAGAACGGGCCAGAAAUGGUCAACUCUUUGGACACUGGUGAACAGGUGGUGCAUGGUUGUCGUCAGCUCGUGUCGUGAGAUGUUGGGUUAAGUCCCGCAACGAGCGCAACCCUCGUUCUAUGUUGCCAGCACGUAAUGGUGGGAACUCAUGGGAUACUGCCGGGGUCAACUCGGAGGAAGGUGGGGG